AAUAUGGGACAAUGGGCGAAAGCCUGAUCCAGCCAUGCCGCGUGUGUGAAGAAGGUCUUCGGAUUGUAAAGCACUUUAGGUUGGGAGGAAGGGCAGUAAGUUAAUACCUUGCUGUUUUGGCUAUACCGACAGAAUAAGCACCGGCCAACUUCGUGCCAGCAGCCGCGGUAAUACAGAGGGUGCAAGCGUUAAUCGGAAUUACUGGGCGUAAAGCGCGCGUAGGUGGUUCAGUAAGAUGGGUGUGAAAUCCCCGGGCUUAACCUGGGAACUGCUUUCAUAACUGGCAAGCUAGAGUAUGGCAGAGGGUGGUGGAAUUUCCUGUGUAGCGGUGAAAUGCGUAGAUAUAGGAAGGAACAUCAGUGGCGAAGGCGACCACCUGGGCUAAUACUGACACUGAGGUGCGAAAGCAUGGGGAGCAAAC
rnacentral:rRNA from 1 species